UGCCAACUUUUUUGGUAUCUGAUGGAUAAUUUAUAUGUUUUUGAUUUGUGUUUUUUGCAGAGGCAGUUAAGUCUAGUAGAAUAUUGGACUGGGAAUACUAGACUGCCCCACUGCCAUUCACUCCAUUUAUCUGUAUCUCUUUCUGAGCUGAUACUGAGAAAUGAUCAGGUAGCUAUUUUUGAUGUCCAGCUCUCCACAUGCCCUUUCUUCCCUACUUCCUGCACUCAGUUACUAUGGUUUUUGCAUCUAACUAUUGAAAUCUAAUUUGGAAGGAGCCCGGGACUGAAAGCUGUGUUGACUAGUAUAAAUCCUUCAAUGACUUAACUCUUCAUGGCAACUGACUGGAAAAGCAGAGGCAACUUCAAGUGGCAGGCUGAGGAAGUGUGUGUUUCUGUGUUUGUGUGCGUGUAUGUAUAUUUAAUACUACGUACAGCUAGACAUAUACAUACAUAAGGACAUAUACAUACGCACACAUUUACAGUAACAUAUGCACUCACUUUGGCCCCCUCUCAAAGGCUUUACAGCUGAUGAAAAUAAAUUUAAGAAUCAGAUGGGGCA
rnacentral:lncRNA from 1 species